UACGUAGGGUGCGAGCGUUGUCCGGAUUUAUUGGGCGUAAAGAGCUCGUAGGCGGUUUGUCGCGUCGGCCGUGAAAUCUCCACGCUUAACGUGGAGCGUGCGGUCGAUACGGGCAGACUUGAGUUCGGUAGGGGAGACUGGAAUUCCUGGUGUAGCGGUGAAAUGCGCAGAUAUCAGGAGGAACAGCCGGUGGCGAAGGCGGAUCUCUGGGCCUGUCCUGACGCUCAGGCGCGAAAGCUAGGGGAGCAAACAGG
rnacentral:rRNA from 1 species